CUCCCCCAUAGUGUCUAUUAUUAAGAUGUCAGUGUUGCCGAGAGUCUUAUAUUUCUUGAAUGCAUCCCCGAUGUGGAUUUCAUCUACCUGGUUUAGAAGACUGAAGGAGCCCUGCUCUGAAUGAGCUUGUAUUGAACCUGCGGCUUGUGUUCUGAAGUGUGACUGAGAGCUUAAGUGUGAAUUUUUAGAAGUUUUAAAAGCAGAAGCUUAAAAAAGCAGGAGUUGGAAGCAGGAGCCUAAAGUAACUGAUCAGACUCUGCUGACAAAGUGAGGAGCCAAUGCCGUCUGGUCUACUGAGAGAAGACUGGUCUACUGAGAGAAGAUUUAGCUGGAUGAAG